AACUGAUACUACCUGCGGGAACCUGCGGAAGGAUCAUUACAUGGCGGAGGAGGUGGGCACCUAGUAAAAACAAAACCCUAGGUGUGUUGCCUACCACGCUUUCUACCCUUGUCUAUUUGCACCUUUUGUCGUUCCCUCGGUGGGUCUUGAACCUGCCGGCGGCAACUUUCAAAAACCUUUUGUAGUUAGUAUCUAAUUCUUCUGAUCAAAUAUUCAAUCGUUACAACUUUCAACAACGGA
rnacentral:misc_RNA from 1 species